GGAAGGAUCAUUACUGAGUUAGGGUCUCAUCUCGAGCCCGAACCUCCAACCCUUUGUAUAAAACACUUUGUUGCUUUGGCAGGCCCGUCUGAAAAUCCUUUAACCGGGAUCGACGACCGCCGGGGGCGUUUAGUCACCUCUGGCCAGUGCUUGCCGAUAGCCUAUUCAAAAUUCUUUAUUAAAUCAUGUCUGAAAAAUUAUAACUAAAUAUAAUUAAAACUUUUAACAACGGAUCUCUUGGUUCUGGCAUCGAUGAAGAACGCAGCGAAAUGCGAUAAGUAAUGUGAAUUGCAGAAUUCAGUGAAUCAUCGAAUCUUUGAACGCACAUUGCGCCCUUUGGUAUUCCGAAGGGCAUGCCUGUUCGAGCGUCAUUAUCAACCCUCAAGCUCGGCUUGUUAUUGGGCUCUUAUCGUUAAAGAUAGGCCCGAAAGAUAAUGGCGGCGUCAUAAAUGACCCCAGAUGCAGCGAGCUUAUAGCAUACAUCGAAAGGUUUUUAUGGCCCGGCCUUAACGAGAAGCAAUUCUCAAUUUAUUUAAA
rnacentral:rRNA from 1 species